GCUGCUGCCAAGCAUGUCAACAAAUGAGUGUGUGUAUUCUCCAACUGUCUCCUCACAUCCAUCACGCGUUUGUAGAAGUCCACCUUCCUGCUCACCCAUCAACAUGCCUACAGACAGCCAUGGAUGGCACUCCCUUUGAUAUGGUUUUGGUGUUCUGCUACAAUCACGCCAUGUGUGCAGAAUGGGAAGAAUGGGAAACCCUGCCGUUCCACAAAUCACUCCAAGAUUGAUUGUUUUUCUCUCUCAUCGUCUGCUGCACAGAUCCAGGGACUUAGGAGCUGGCUAUGGAGGAGGU